AAGGGUAUAGUCCAGCUGUAGAACGCAUGCUUUGCAUGCAUGAGAUCUGGGUACUGAUCCCCAUUACCUCUG
rnacentral:tRNA from 1 species